rnacentral:rRNA from 1 species
UACGUAGGUGGCAAGCGUUGUCCGGAUUUACUGGGCGUAAAGAGCUCGUAGGCGGUCUGUCGCGUCGGCUGUGAAAUCCCGAGGCUCAACCUCGGGUCUGCAGUCGAUACGGGCAAACUGGAGUGUUGCAGGGGAGACUGGAAUUCCUGGUGUAGCGGUGAAAUGCGCAGAUAUCAGGAGGAACACCGGUGGCGAAGGCGGGUCUCUGGGCAACAACUGACGCUGAGGAGCGAAAGCGUGGG